CAAAGAUUAUCGUGUAAAAUUUAUAUUAGAAAAUCAGGAAACCUUUCCCUUGACAUUUCUGCCGUAAGGAGAAAAUAUUUCUGUUUGUAAUUUCGAGAAAUAAUCGGCGAUUGUCUAGGCCACAGACUGCGAAAUCGCCAGGUGUUAGCUUUCAUGGGAACCCUGAUUACAACAAUGCUGUUUUAGGCUAUUCUCUUGAAAUUAGAAUGUAUACACUCCCUCCAGAUUAAGGUUUCCUCCCGAAAUCUAACAUCCUAGCUAGACCCAGCUUACUGCAAUAUCUUCUUUGCUCUAUGCCUUCGUAAACUGGAACAAAAUUGUAACCAGCAGCAGAUGUGCGAGCUGCCGAAGUUGUCGAUUGAUAGCAACAUCAUUUUUAAGCGUUAACUAAUUUAAUUUUGUUAUGAUAAGAAAGAGUCAUUCGAUAUAGGGCAAUCUCGGAACAAUAGAAAAAUAAUCGCGUGAUCUUAUCCACUUGGAUAUAAUAUUUACACAAAAAACAGAAUUCUGUAUUCUGGGGUGCCAUCAUUCUUGGAAAACGGAUCGGAUUGGCAAUGAAUGUUAUAGUAGAUGUAAAAACCUGAAAUCUGUAUUCUGGAGCUGUGUGCAUGGAAUUAUCCCUGGAGAACGGAACGUAUUUUCAGUAAGCUUGAGAGAGAUAUUUGCAGUUCUUUGCAUUUCGUGAUUAACGUUUCCAAAGGCAC